ACUCCUCUGUGUUCUUUGAAGCCCUUGAACUUAAAAACGGAGCGGAUUGAAGACGCACAAGAGACUGAAGUGAUACUGCUGAAACUUGCGACAUCUCGUCUUCUCUGGUGCCACCAUACGCUGGCAAAAACAACAACAACACCAUUGCACAUUGGGCGUGCAGGGAGUUCCGGUGCGACCACUGUGGGUUAGCCAGGCACUGGAGUGGAGCUCCCAUGUGGCUUUUCUCAGUGGUGACUGAACCAUAAGAACAGAGGGACAGAGGGCUGCACACCACAGGGACUCUGGGAUAGCUCAACCUUCUCUGGGAGGACCGAUGCCUUGGCGUUGCAUAGAGAGCGGCUGAUGUUUUAAUCAUGGCCCCGGGGCUCAUUGUGAUGUGCAGCCACCUCUGGGGUCUCUAAUUGUCUCAGGCCAGGCUGGCUCUGCUGAUCACCCUGCGUCUGGAAUGGCUAAUGACUCACAGUGAGAUAAAGAGACAGAGAUGCUUCACAUAUAGAGCUCUAUCUGUUUUGUGUGUGUGUGUGUGUGUGCAUGCUGAGGUGAGCGGCAGAGGUGUGUGUCUGUCUUUUUG